CCUACGGGGGGCAGCAGUGAGGAAUAUUGGACAAUGGGCGCAAGCCUGAUCCAGCCAUGCCGCGUGCAGGAUGACGGUCCUAUGGAUUGUAAACUGCUUUUAUACGAGAAGAAACACUCCUUCGUGAAGGAGCUUGACGGUAUCGUAAGAAUAAGGAUCGGCUAACUCCGUGCCAGCAGCCGCGGUAAUACGGAGGAUCCAAGCGUUAUCCGGAAUCAUUGGGUUUAAAGGGUCCGUAGGCGGUCUUGUAAGUCAGUGGUGAAAGCCCAUCGCUCAACGGUGGAACGGCCAUUGAUACUGCUAGACUUGAAUUAUUAGGAAGUAACUAGAAUAUGUAGUGUAGCGGUGAAAUGCUUAGAGAUUACAUGGAAUACCAAUUGCGAAGGCAGGUUACUACUAAUGGAUUGACGCUGAUGGACGAAAGCGUGGGUAGCGAACAGGAUUAGAUACCCCGGUAGUC
rnacentral:rRNA from 1 species